rnacentral:lncRNA from 1 species
CGACAAGGAAUGAGUUGGAGGAGGAGAAUGAAGAUAAUUGAGGAGAAGAGGAUGGGGAGGAGGGGGAGGAAAAAUGAUGGGUUGCCUGUGAAAGGGGUGGAGAGAGAGGGGAUCACCAUGAAGGGGGAUAGUUUAUAAACGACUCAGAGGAGGAAAAGGAUGGGAAAAAAGGAGAGGAGAUAGAGAAAUGGGUAGAGGUAGAGAAAGCUGCCAUAAAGGAGGAAAAAUGGGUAAAGAAAGGGAGGAGGAGGAAAAAGAAUAUCAACAAUGGAGAAGAAGAUCAAUCAGAGAG